rnacentral:rRNA from 1 species
AGAGUUUGAUCCUGGCUCAGAUUGAACGCUGGCGGCAUGCCUUACACAUGCAAGUCGAACGGCAGCACGGGUGCUUGCACCUGGUGGCGAGUGGCGAACGGGUGAGUAACACGUAGUCAACCUACCUUUAAGUGGGGGAUAACUAGCCGAAAGGUUAGCUAAUACCGCAUGUGAUCUUCGAGUGGCAUCACUUGACGAUC